ACAGGCGCUCCGUGGUUUUUGCGCUCAAGGUACGCUACCUGAUGAAACGUGACUUCCAGGACAAGCGCUCCGUGGUUCCUGCGCUCCAGGUUCGCUACUUGGUGGAGCUUGACUUCCAGGACAAGCGAUCCGUGGUUCCUGCGCUCCAGGUACGCACCUGGUGAAGCUUGACUUCCAGAACAGGCGUUCCGUGGUUUUUGCGCUCAAGGUAUAACGCGAGGUGGUUAUCGGUGGUUGUUGGACGUGGUUGGCGUGGUUGGCGGUGGACGAGGAGGAGGACGAGGAUUUGUGCUCGACGAGUAUAACCCGAGGUGGUUAUCGGUGGUUGUUGGAGGUGGUUGGCAGUGGUUGGAGGGAGCUGAAGGUGAUUUGAACUGGUUGGAGGUCGUUGGAGCUAGUUGGCGGUGGUAGAAGGUAAACGGAGGUGGUCGAGAACGAGAAGGAGGACAAGGAGAGGGAGGAGGAGGACGAGGUGGACAAGAAGGAUGGAGAUCGUCGUAGGUGAAUGAAGGUGGUAAGGUAGUCUGGGGUGUUGGGUUGGUGUAGUGUUGGGGUGUUGGGGUGUUAAGGUGUCGGGGUGGUGGGGACCUACCCUAACCAACCCUACCCAACACCCUACGUUACCCUACCCUACCCUACCCUACUCUACCCUACCCUACACUCCCCUAGCCUUCCUGCCCCUACCCUCCUCCUAUACUCCUAAUUCUACUCCUACUCCUACUCCUACUCCUACUUCUACUUCUACUUUAAUCUUAUUACUACUUCCACUCCAAUCUUACUCCAACUCCUGAUCCUACUCCUAAUCCUACUCCUACUUCUACUCCAAUCUUACUCCUACUCCUACUCCUGAUCCCACUCCUAUUCCUACUCCUAAUUCUAAAUACUAAUAUUAUGGAAUAUAUAGACUGCGUGUCGAAUUAAAUCCCAUAUCGAAACGAACAAUUCUUUUAUUGUCAUAUUACAGCCGAUUAUAGUGGGUAAUCUAGUAUGUUUCCUAGAAAAUUAUAAACUUUAUAGUAUGCAUCACAUAUUAAUCAUAAAUGAAUCAUACAUUUCAAUGUCGUACAUGGACCGCAUAUACAUUUAUACUUUUUGGUCUCUGAAUGAUUAUUACAUCUGAUCUAUUUUUAUUCAUGACCUAUGUGUACAUUCAUCUCUCGGGUACCUAUACUUUAAUUAAAUCACUGUUUUGCUAAGAAUUUUGAAAGAUAUUUAUUCUCAUUAUUUAUUUCUUGUAUCGCCGACAAGUCGGUAAGUACACUCAGGCCAAGUACUAGCUUGGGCUUACCAUUGCAAAGACUGUGUUACUCAGAAGGUGAAUGCAGCCAGCAUCAUAUCGAAAUCGAAAACUCUCUGAUGUUCUGCAAUAAGUUCUCAACUCUACCGUUGAAACAUCUCACAGAGCAAUUUGCGGUUGUCACAUCAAAGCCCAUAAGGGCAACUGUCUGUAUAUUCUUCAUCCAAUCGUAGGGCUAACCCCUUUGCAUUUUUGUCAAAAAUUUUCGCGAUUCUGAAAAGUGCUGGAAUAAAUUCGUUCAUGCACUAUGCCGGCGUACUUUCGCGAGAGAAAUCAAUUGUGCGCAGUCCCGAUACGCUGCGAUCAACGCAUGAAAAGUUAGAGCCAAAAAACGAGAACCUGUAUUUUCGGAAUUUUUUAGCAGGUGCAGUUUCCUUCUUAAUUUCUUUCCUGUUGAUCCUACGCUCUUUUUGCUGCGUUUUCUGGGUUCCUGGAGGCCCAAUUAGUCAGAAACGGGUCAUACCAAUCGAAUCUGAGACCAAAAAUUUUUUGGUCGAAAAAUGAAAAAAAAGUAAGG